rnacentral:rRNA from 1 species
UACGUAGGGGGCUAGCGUUGUCCGGAUUUAUUGGGCGUAAAGAGCGCGCAGGCGGCUUGGCAAGUCGGGUGUGAAAUCCCGGGGCUCAACCCCGGGACUGCAUUCGAUACUGUCAGGCUAGAGGUAGGUAGGGGAGAUCGGAAUUCCUGGUGUAGCGGUGAAAUGCGCAGAUAUCAGGAGGAACACCGGUGGCGAAGGCGGAUCUCUGGGCCUUACCUGACGCUCAGGCGCGAAAGCUGGGGGAGCGAACAGG